GUUGGCUAUGGAAUAAAGCUGUAUUAAGUUUUAAAUAGAUUAGUUUAAAUUGACGCUCUUCCAAUCGGUGUGAUAUUUCGAUAGCUCAAAUGGUAUAGAGUCAGUUGACGUGAGUCAACGUUGUGUUGACAAUCAAUACCGUUGGCUUUUUACUACAUGAAUAUUAAGAAGUACUAUAAAUUCUCUUGAAGAUGGUUCUAUAAAAAUAGAGCAAUAUUGAGUCUAUAUAUACAGAUUUGAAUUUCGGCGCUUUCCAGUGGUGUCGCGUUGACAUUGUAUUGAAAAUACUUGCUAUACAUGUAUUUCAAUAAUAUGGUGUUGUUAUAUUUUCUUGACGAGUUUUAAAUAUAUUUGAAUUUGCGCUAUUCCAUCAGUUUAAUACGCAGAUUAAAAUCUGACUUGAAUCAACUUUUGUGUUGACAUUUCUUGGGUUUUUGGUAUGAUAUAUUUGUUAUUAUAUUCUCUUGAUAAUAUAUGGCUCUACAGUAAGGCUGUAGAGGUUUAAUUCAGUACGUACUAAUACAAAAUAUAAAUUAAACUUUCAAACUUUACCUUGCGUUUGGCUUGGGUUUUCAAGAGUUUUCAUUUUCCCCGCAUUGUUCGAACCGAGUGGCGUCUCUUGGCCAUUUGUGUCUUUUAAACCAUUUUCCGUUUGCGCUUUGGUGCAUAACUCCUCUGCGAGUUUUUCCUGUGCGUUCGGGCACGUUUCAUGAGCUUGUGUCUUCAGAAUGUCGCUGAUACCGAACGGAGUAAAUCGAGUUUCAUUCGAGGCCAUUGCGAAGCGUCCUGAACUGUAAUGAAGCGUUGGACAACUGGCGUUAUGUUUAUGACUUGUGUUGUUUUGUUGAGCACUUUGCUCUGUUUAAGUACAGGACGUGGGACGUUUCCUCUACUCGACAAAUGCUUUCAGCUUU
rnacentral:lncRNA from 1 species